CAAAAAAUGACUCUCGGCAACGGAUAUGUCGGCUCUCGUAUCGAUGAAGUAAGUAACGAAAUGCGAUACUUGGUGUGAAUUGCAGAAUCCCGUGAACCAUCGAGUCUUUGAACGCAAGUUGCGCCCAAAGCCUGUUAGGCCGAGGGCACGUCUGCCUGGGCGUCACGCAU
rnacentral:rRNA from 1 species